rnacentral:rRNA from 1 species
UACGUAGGGUACAAGCGUUAAUCGGAAUUACUGGGCGUAAAGCGUGCGCAGGCGGUGAUGUAAGACAGAUGUGAAAUCCCCGGGCUCAACCUGGGAACUGCAUUUGUGACUGCAUCGCUGGAGUGCGGCAGAGGGGGAUGGAAUUCCGCGUGUAGCAGUGAAAUGCGUAGAUAUGCGGAGGAACACCGAUGGCGAAGGCAAUCCCCUGGGCCUGCACUGACGCUCAUGCACGAAAGCGUGGGGAGCAAACGGG